rnacentral:tRNA from 3 species
GAAAUAAGAAAAUCAAGAAUAAGCUUCUAACUUAAUUCUUAAGCAAUGAAAUUUUGUUUUUAUUUCU